GGAGAAGCCCACAAAUGAAUCUCGGUUUCCAUUUUGAAGUUAUAGUUGUUGUACUGAAAGAAAAGGAACUCUCUUCUCUGCGAAAACACAAUGGAAAUACAGUUGCGAGGAGAGGGCUCGGCUGCUCCGACGCCUCAAGGUGCACGAGAGAUCCAACGCCCUUGGUGCUGGCAAGGCG